rnacentral:rRNA from 1 species
AAACUUUCAACAACGGAUCUCUUGGUUCUCGCAUCGAUGAAAAGCGCAGCGAAAUGCGAUACCUAUUGUGAAUUGCAGCCAUCGUGAAUCAUCGAGUUCUUGAACGCACAUUGCGCCCUCCGGCAUUCCGGGGGGCAUGCCUGUUUGAGCGUCGUUU